CUGUGAAACUACAAGGCAAAGAGCCUGGAUGCAGAAAGGGAUAAGGAACAGGAAUUCAUUUCUCCAUUCAGGGCUCUGGGCAUGAAUAUAUGCAAAAAUAUGGACAGAACGGCCACAUCAAGUGAUACGAUAAUUGAGGAGGCUGAGGCAGCAUCGAUGUCACCUGUUUCAGAAUCCCUCCUUACCUUUGUAUAUGCACCAUGAUCUCCUGAUUCACCCCUUCUGUAGCACUUACAGCACCACAUUGGAGUUACUUGUUCAAUCACCCAUCUCCCUGACAGCAUUGGAAGUUCUGUGAGGACUGCGGCAGUGCCCACCAUCUUGCUAUUGCAUUUCCUAUAUCUGGCACAUAGCAGGUGCUAGAAUAACAUCUGCUUAACUGAAUUUUCCAGUUGACAAAACUUCUAGAGUGAUGUGCUGAAUUGUGCAGAAUCAUUUGUAUUUCUUUAACACUUGUCCCAUCUGUGUAUCCUAUUCAAAUCAACUAUUAUGAAAAUAUUAGGAAAUAUUUAUCCUUAGCUUUUAAAAUAUGCUAUUAUGAAAGAAAGAAUAGAUUAAAUUUAAAAACAUGCUGUUUUUCUGUAUUUCAAUUAUGCAUUCUUCUGAAUAAGAUAAAAGAUCUAACAUAAAGCCAAAUCUGAUCCCUGCUGAUGAUGGAAAGCUUACUCUAAUGAAGCAAGUAUGACUUGGAAAUAAAUGACCUUGUUGCUUUUUUUUGGAGUGACA
rnacentral:lncRNA from 12 species